rnacentral:tRNA from 1 species
ACUAUUUUGGCAGAUUAGUGCUUUGGAUUUAGAAUCCAAUUAUGUAAUUGUAUUACAGAUAGUA